CUUCAUUGCUGUUGGUCUCUUCAUCUUGAUUGCAGCAGUGAUUGUGACCAACAUCAGGAGCAAAACUAAAGACACCGACUCCACAGCAGUUACCGACAAUGACUACACAGAAGUGUAAAAAUCACUUUAAGAAGAGAAGAGAACAGGCAUGAAGAAAAACAAAAAACAUAUAAAUGAAAAAUAUAAUUGUUAUAACCCAUGACUAGGGGUGCACAUAAGUGGUAUGCAGAUAAACAUAUGGGCUGUAUACAUUCAGACCACUUUGACAGAUGUUAAUGCAUAAAAAAUGCAUAAAAACCAUUAUUACUGUAUAAGAUUUGCAUUCAAACUUGAAGCAUGAAUCAAGGUUAAGCACGGAUUUUUCAAAGAGAAUAAGUGUAAAUAAAGUGUAAUAAAAUUAUUUGUUUAUUUUUAUAGUUAUAUUUAAAAGGUCAGACCAUGUUCAGUGAAAACCAAACCAAGUCUCCAGGUGAACUCAUGUGCACCCCUGCUUAUAUCCACAACCUUUACAUUUUUAUUUUAGUUUAUUAGUUUUUUGUUUGUUUGGUUGGUUUUUGCUUAUGCUGUAGUAUUCCUCAUUUGUUUGUUAUAUAAAAAUAACUGAAUCUGUUACUUCUGAUUUCUUUACUGAAGCUUUGCUUUAUGUUCACAAAGAGUAAGGGGGAGAAGCCAUGGUAUUGUAUUUUUGAAAAAUUUGUAUAUGAAAAUAAAAACUAUACUUGCAUGUGA